UUUAAUGAGAGUUUGAUCCUGGCUCAGGACGAACGCUGGCGGCGUGCCUAAUACAUGCAAGUAGAACGCUGAUGUUUGGUGUUUACACUAGACUGAUGAGUUGCGAACGGGUGAGUAACGCGUAGGUAACCUGCCUCAUAGCGGGGGAUAACUAUUGGAAACGAUAGCUAAUACCGCAUAAGAGUAAUUAACACAUGUUAGUUAUUUAAAAGGAGCAAUUGCUUCACUGUGAGAUGGACCUGCGUUGUAUUAGCUAGUUGGUGAGGUAAAGGCUCACCAAG
rnacentral:rRNA from 1 species